CCAGCCUGGGGCCGGAGACCCUCUCUUGGGACCGCACCAGAGCACGCCCUGCCUGCUGAUAAAGCCUGGUGAGGGCGUCUCCUCCUCCCCCGUGUCUCUGUCGUCGCCGUCGUCGUCCUGCCGGCGGAGGAGAGGAGACGGUUGUGGUUGGGCAAGAAAACCCAUCCAUCAGCCAUGGGCGACUCUGUUCCCGGAGGAUACUUCAUCGGCCGGCCGGCGAACAAGGCGGACGAGCAACAACAGGCGGCUGCCGACGAUGAACCCAAGCCUGCCCACACUCAGAUUCCCGGAGAUUACUUCGUCGGGACACCGGAGAACCUUCGGCCACAGGGGGCGACGGCGG